UACGUAGGUGACCAGCGUUGUCCGGAUUUACUGGGCGUAAAGAGCGCGCAGGCGGUCGUUCAAGUCGAGUGUGAAAGCCCCCGGCUCAACCGGGGAGGGUCAUUCGAUACUGAUCGACUCGAAGGCAGGAGAGGGAAGCGGAAUUCCCGGUGUAGUGGUGAAAUGCGUAGAUAUCGGGAGGAACACCAGUGGCGAAGGCGGCUUCCUGGCCUGUUCUUGACGCUGAGGCGCGAAAGCUAGGGGAGCAAACGGG
rnacentral:rRNA from 1 species